rnacentral:pre_miRNA from 1 species
UAUAAGGGAUUUUGAGUUUUUGUUUGCAACGUUUGAUCACUCGUCUUAUUCAAAAUUUUUUGAAAUUUUUUUUUUGACUUACUUUAUUAUCUACGGUAUUUUAAGCACAAAUUUUCGUUUUUUAUAUUUGCAAAAAAAAUUUGAAUAAGACGAGUGGUCAAACGUUGCAAUAAACUCAAAAUCCCUUGUAUC